CCUACGGGAGGCAGCAGUGAGGAAUAUUGGUCAAUGGACGAGAGUCUGAACCAGCCAAGUAGCGUGAAGGAUGACUGCCCUAUGGGUUGUAAACUUCUUUUAUAAAGGAAUAAAACGAGGCACGUGUGCCUUUUUGCAUGUACUUUAUGAAUAAGGAUCGGCUAACUCCGUGCCAGCAGCCGCGGUAAUACGGAGGAUCCGAGCGUUCUCCGGAUUUAUUGGGUUUAAAGGGAGCGUAGAUGGGUUGUUAAGUCAGUUGUGAAAGUUUGCGGCUCAACCGUAAAAUUGCAAUUGAUACUGGCAGUCGUGAGUACAGUUGAGGUAGGCGGAAUUCGUGGUGUAGCGGUGAAAUGCUUAGAUAUCACGAAGAACCCCGAUUGCGAAGGCAGCUUACUAAACUGUGACUGACAUUGAUGCUCGAAAGUGUGGGUAUCAAACAGGAUUAGAUACCCGAGUAGUC
rnacentral:rRNA from 1 species